UAUGGCACCAAGGAUUAAAAACUGAUGAACUUGUACAGAUUUAAUUUAUAGAGAAUGUCUGAGCUUAUCUGUGCAGGUGGUCAAGAGGAAUAUAUGAAAUACAGUGAAAGGUAAGGUGUGUAAAGCAGAUACUUUUUGAGUGUUUUUGUGCUGUAUUAUUUUAAGGUCAGCUAUUAGGAGCUAUGUUUUCAUUCUGUCUCUCCUGUUCCUUCAUCCUCACCUAUUUUACCUCUUCCUAUUUGCCUCUCUCUUAAUUUCUAUUCUCCUCUCCUCCCUCUACCUUGUGACAGGACCAGCAUCCCCAACUGACAAACCUGACAUCAACUCAACCAUUCCAAAGACCACCUGGACCUCCGAUCCCAAUGUACUCCCCAUCAUGCACUUCUCAAACCAAUGCAUCAACUGCUCUCUCCAUCCAUAAUAGCCAAUUUGGAGGACUUUCCUCCUGCCAAUCUUGGACUGCUCUUCCAUGUUUAAUUAAAUCUGGGUCCUCCAUCAGCAGUCAAUUUUCCAUGACGUCGAUGAAUAUAACUCCAUCACCUUCAAAUUCUUUAGCGGUGACCCAGCCCAAACUGCGAGUCAUUCCUGAGACACAGGAACCAGCUGAAUGGCAAAUCAACUCUCCUUCAACUUUUGUGGAUCAGAAAUCCCUAUCAGACAACCUGGAAUGGAAAGUUGCAUCCACCGACAAGAAGUCAUCAUCUUUCCUAAAACCAACUCAAGUGAAUGUUGUACCAACCACACAAAUUUUCAGUUCUCAGAGCUCCCAGGGACAGAUACUUCCCAUCUUUAAAAGUAGCAUUCAGAAGCUCACCAGUGUUUUUCCUCCAACAUCUCUUUCCAAUAACCACAAGGUGAACAGCUUUGCACAGCAUGUACUGGCAGGUGGAGGUCUUGGUACUAAUCAUCACAGUUGCAGUCCUAAAGGUUCCUUCCAAAAAGUGAAACCACCCUUUGUGCCACGUUUCAAACCAAUUUUGUUGCAUACAAAACAGGUUGUUAGGAAGAAAGAAGGGGAAAAUGACAAAGAAAAGGAAUAUACCACACAAAAAAGCAGCAGAACAGCGAAUCCAUUUGAGGUUUCCAGCAAUACUUCAAUUGCACGUUCUAGUUUUUUCCCUGAAAAAUUCAAGCGAAAACAUGAGGCAAGUAUAGCAACACUGAUCCUUACCUCCAAUGCACAAACUUUGAUGUCGUAAUUAGCAUGCACGACAUAUUUGAAAGCAACAUGAAUCUCGUCUAUCUCGUAACUACCACCACAGGAGGACAUCAGCAUUGUGAAAAAGAAAAGGGUUUGCCCAAAACCAGCUGUUCAGGAUGUGGACAUUGCAAAGUUUGCUGUUAAUGUUCAGGUUGUGCAUUUUGUCUUUCUCUAUUUUUGAUUGAUAGUUUCUGAUCAACAGUACCUGAUUAUAAUAUCCUGUCAUGACUUGUUUCAGUAUAAGGUUUGUAUUAUUAGAAUGCCAUGCUACUUGCUAACUCAAUCCAAAUUGCUUAUUGUUCUUCAGUCGGGAAAAGUUACGACUGCUACUUUGAUCUCUUGGUUGAAGACCAAAGGUAUUCCUGUUCAUUCAAGGGAGAAAAAGGAGAUUUUGAUGAAAAAGGUUCAAGAAUACAUUGCCACUCAGAAACCUGAAAUGUGAUCAAUAUUUGUGAGCUUGUGUUUGUUGGGUGUAGUUCAGUUCUCAGUAUUCUCAGUCAUUAAAUUUGUUACAACUUGAUGCAAUAGCUUUAACUAACUUUAUUGUGCAAUGUUGGCUUUAAAUGGAAUUCACCUGUAUUUCCAAAAGUAACUGGACAACACACACAAAGUUGGAAUGAACCCUUCCUACCGGACUGCAUAUUUUCACACAAUGUACAAAGGACGUCCUUUAUAAAUGUGUGCAACACCAACUGAAACCCGGUUGUAAUUAAGAUCGCAUGAGGUAAUGAGCGGACUGAAAUUUAACAUGGAAUAGUUGUUGGAUAACAGAGUUCCAUGGUAUUUCCAAUACAACUGUGAGUCAAUUAUUGUCAAUCGAUCAACUGUGAGUGAUGUCUUGAGGUAAUUAUUUGUUUAAUUUUUUUAAGCGACACGCACACAUUAUAACUGUGAGCAGUUAUUCCAGGGCCCAAGCCCUGGCAUAAUUCUAUCCGUUAUGGGUGCCAGACCACGUAACAUAUGAAGUUUACAUUUUCAAACUAUAUUCCCCAUGGGUAGUCCAUCAUAUUUAUGGUUUCACAUUCAUUGGUUCAGCAGUUUGAGAGAAGAUGAUUUUUUAAUACUUUACAUUCGAUCCAACAUGGUUGCCUGAUCACAUGACUGAUGACGUUUCAAUUUCCAAUCUAUAUUCCCCAUGAAUAGUCAAUCAUAUAUAUGAAGUUUUUUUUAUCCAUCAAUUAAAUGGUUCAGGAGAAGGAAUCAUUUUUAGGUUUUUGUUCAAUCCAAUAUGGCUGCCAGACCACAUGACCGUGAUGUUUUGUGAUAAUACUUUUAUCCCCAUGGAUAAUCGAUACUAUAUUUAGUUUUGUAUCCAUUAGUUCAGCAGUUUGAGAAGAUUUUUAAUCCAU
ensembl:lincRNA